rnacentral:rRNA from 1 species
UACGUAGGGUGCGAGCGUUGCCCGGAUUUAUUGGGCGUAAAGGGCUCGUAGGCGGCGUGUCGCGUCGGGAGUGAAGGACCGGGGCUUAACCCCGGUUCUGCUUCCGGUACGGGCAUGCUGGAGUGUGGCAGGGGAGACUGGAAUUCCUGGUGUAGCGGUGGAAUGCGCAGAUAUCAGGAGGAACACCGGUGGCGAAGGCGGGUCUCUGGGCCAUUACUGACGCUGAGGAGCGAAAGCGUGGGGAGCGAACAGG